rnacentral:lncRNA from 8 species
UCACUUGCUUUGGCAAUGUUAACACAUGUUUCCCAUGCCAAUAAAGCCCCUUGAAUUGAAUUGAUAUCCCCCCCACACUACCUGCUGCCUCGCGUCACAUUAACUGACGUCACGGAGCUGUCCUCGCGAGAGCAGUGGAGAGAGCAAUGCAGAGAGCGCGAGAGAUGCAGCUUAGUGAGGGGAGCACUUCAACAGCAAAACAAAUAGCUAUAUCCCUGAAAAACGGACGGGUUCAUUGUAUUAUGUCCUCGAAUCGUUUUUGUAUCUACUACUGCGAUAUUUAGCCUUUGUUUUGAUGCAGUCUACAUAUGUAGCCUACACCGGGGAGGUAACUGUAGCCAAGCAAAACAGUGAAGAACAGGCGGCCGGUAGAGGACAGCCGGGGACGCUCAGAGCUACUUUCAGAGAUGUCCCUUCUCUGUGUCAGAGUGAAGAAAGCCAAGCUGGAUGGACCCCAAGGUACGUGUAGCUAUUCAAAAUAUUGCCUAGUCAGACCAUUACUCUGUUCCAGCUGGCUGAUAAGUAUUAUUAGAUAGGUACUGUUUGGUGUAGGACAGAGAAUCUUAGACCAAUCUUAACCUUUUCGAUACUUUCUCAAUUCCUGACGUGGAAGAUAAUCUUUGUUUUCUAAACGUUUAUGUCUAGUUGCCGGGGGUUUGUUGGAAUUAAGAACAUGCUCCAUUAUUAAAUAAAAUAAAUGUUUUGCUCCUUGAAGUAAUCGAACAAUGUGUACGUUGCCAUCUUGUCUAUUUCAAAUCUCCUCUCAUUGAUUGAGACAGGUAGGUGUCCACACCAAAGUGCUGCAUGUCAUGAUGACCCAC